CUGAAAUAAAUUGAAGAGUAUUGGUAAUAGUUCUUAUUUAAAGGUCUUGUAGAACUCAGUUGUGUAUUCAUCCAGUCCUGGGCUUUUCUUGGUUGGUAGGCUUCUGAUGGCAUCUUCUAUUUCAUCACUUGAUACUGUUCUGUUUAAAUUGUGUAUAUUUUCCUGAUUCAAUUUGGGCAAAUCAUAUGAAUCUAGAAAUUUGUUGAUGCCUUUGGUAUUUUUAUUUUAUUAAAGUACAAGUUUUCAAAAUAAUUUCUAAUUAUCUUCUGUAUUUCUGUAGUGUCUGUUGUGAUAUUUCCUAUUUCAUCACAUAUGUUAGUAAUUUGAGUUUUCUCUCUCCUUCUCUUCAUUAGCAUGGCUAAGGGUCUGUCAAUUUUAUUGAUUUUUUUCAAAGAACCAACUUUUUUUUCUGUCAAUUUUUUCAAUUAUUUCUUUUGUUUCAAUUUCAUUGAUUUCAGCUCUGAUUUUAAUUAUUUCCUGUCUUCUACUGCUUUCUGUGUAAAUUUGUUCUCCCUUUUCUAGGACUUUGAGAUGUAAUGCUAAGUCAUUUAUUUGUUGGCUUUUUCUUCUUUUAAGGAAUGAACUCCAUGAAAUGAACUUUCCUCUUAAAACUGCCUUCAUAGGGUUCCAGAGAUUUCAAUUUGUUGUAUCUGUGUUCUCAUUCACCUCUAAAAACUUUUUAAUCUCCUCCUUGAUGUCUUCUGCAACCCAUUGUUC
rnacentral:lncRNA from 1 species